GACGAACGCUGGCGGCGUGCUUAACACAUGCAAGUCGAACGAAGAGCGACGGAAGCUUGCUUCUAUCAAUCUUAGUGGCGAACGGGUGAGUAACGCGUAAUCAACCUGCCCUUCAGAGGGGGACAACAGUUGGAAACGACUGCUAAUACCGCAUACGAUCUAACCUCGGCAUCGAGGAUAGAUGAAAGGUGGCCUCUACAUGUAAGCUAUCACUGAAGGAGGGGAUUGCGUCUGAUUAGCUAGUUGGAGGGGGAACGGCCCACCAAGGCGAUGAUCAGUAGCCGGUCUGAGAGGAUGAACGGCCACAUUGGGACUGAGACCCGGCCCAGACUCCUACGGGAGGCAGCAGUGGGGAAUCUUCCGCAAUGGACGAAAGUCUGACGGAGCAACGCCGCGUGAGUGAUGACGGCCUUCGGGUUGUAAAGCUCUGUUAAUCGGGACGAAAGGCCUUCUUGCGAAUAGUGAGAAGGAUUGACGGUACCGGAAUAGAAAGCCACGGCUAACUACGUG
rnacentral:rRNA from 1 species